rnacentral:rRNA from 1 species
AUUGAACGCUGGCGGCAUGCUUUACACAUGCAAGUCGAACGGCAGCGCGGGCUUCGGCCUGGCGGUGAGUGGCGAACGGGUGAGUAAUGCAUCGGAACGUGCCCAGUAGUGGGGGAUAGCCCGGCGAAAGCCGGAUUAAUACCGCAUACGACCUGAGGGUGAAAGCGGGGGACCGAAAGGCCUCGCGCUAUUGGAGCGGCCGAUGUCGGAUUAGCUAGUUGGUGGGGUAAAGGCUUACCAAGGCGACGAUCCGUAGCUGGUCUGAGAGGACGACCAGCCACACUGGGACUGAGACACGGCCCAGACUCCUACGGGAGGCAGCAGUGGGGAAUUUUGGACAAUGGGGGCAACCCUGAUCCAGCCAUGCCGCGUGCGGGAAGAAGGCCUUCGGGUUGUAAACCGCUUUUGUUCGGGAAGAAAUCCUCUGGGCUAAUACCCCGGGGGGAUGACGGUACCGGAAGAAUAAGCACCGGCUAACUACGUG